UAGUUUUGGGGGUCCCCCCAGUUUUGGGGUGUCCUGAUGUCCCAGUUUUUGGGGUCACUCCGGUUUUGGGGUGUCCCGGUUUUGGGGUGUCCCGAUGUCCCGUUUCUGGGGUCACCCCAUUUUUGGGGUGUCCUGGUUUUGGGGUGUCCUGAUGUCCCAGUUUUUGGGGUCACUCCGGUUUUGGGUUGUCCUGAAGUCCCAUUUUUUGGGGUGUCCCGGUUUUUGGGGUGUCCUGGUUUUGGGGUGUCCCGAUGUCCCGUUUCUGGGGUCACUCCGGUUUUGGGGUGUCCUGGUUUUGGGGUGUCCUGAAGUCCCAUUUUUGGGGGGUCACCUCACUUUUGGGGUCCCCCCCAUUCCAAACACCCGGAUUUUGGGGGGUUGCAGCUUCCGGAUCCUUUAUUUUUUGGGGGGGUCACCCCAGUUUUGGGGUGUCCUGAUGCCCCAGUUUUUGGGGUCACUCCAUUUUUGGGGUGUCCCGGUUUUGGGGGUGUCCCGAUGUCCCGUUUUUGGGGUCCCCUCGAUUUUGGGGGGUCGCUGCUCCCGGAUCCUCCAGUUUUGGGGUGUCCCGGUUUUGGGGGUGUCCCGAUGUCCCGUUUUUUGGGGUUCCCUUGAUUUUGGGGGGUCGCCGCUCCCGGAUCCUCCGUUGCUGCCGUGUUGGGUUUUUGGGGACCCCCAUUUUUUUGGGGACCCCCAUUUUCUGAUGCCCCCAUUUUCUGGGACCCUCAUUCCUUUGGGACCCCCAUUUUUCGGGCCCCCCCCAUUUUUGGGGUGCCCAUCCCAGACUUUUGGGGUGUCGCUGCUCCCGGAUCCUCCGUCGCCACCGUGUCGGGUUUUUGGGGACCCCCAUUUUCUGGUCCCCCGUUUUCUGGGCCCCUCAUUUUUUGGGGUCCCUCAUUUUUGGGGUCUUCCAUUUUUAGGGUCCCCUUGAUUCUGGGGGGUCGCUGCUCCCGGAUCCUCUGUUGCCGCUUGUCGGGUUUCCGGGGGACCCCUUUUUUUCGGGGGACCCCAUUUUUAGGGGGCCCUCAAUUUUUGGGGGUCCCUCAUUUUUUGGGGGUCCCUCAUUUUUUGGGCCCCUCAUUUUUUGGGGUCCCUCAUUUUUUGGGUCCCUCAUUUUUCGGGCUGCCCCGUUUUUGGGGUGCCCAGUUUUUGGGGUGCCAGUUUC
rnacentral:lncRNA from 1 species